GACAGAGGGGGCUAGCGUUGUUCGGAUUUACUGGGCGUAAAGAGCUCGUAGGCGGCUUGUCGCGUCGUCCGUGAAAACCUGCGGCUCAACUGCAGGCUGGCGGUCGAUACGGGCAGGCUGGAGUUCGGUAGGGGAGACUGGAAUUCCUGGUGUAGCGGUGAAAUGCGUAGAUAUCGUAAGGAAGACCAGUGGCGAAGGCGGGUCUCUGGACAGUUCCGUGACGCUGAGGCACGAAGGCCAGGGGAGCAAACGGGG
rnacentral:rRNA from 1 species